rnacentral:lncRNA from 1 species
UGGAAUGACAGCGCCGAAGGCUGGCCAGAUGACCAACUCGAAAACAGGUUCCACCCCAGAGGUGAAGCUUUAGAGAGAAACCGACCCAGUAAAGAAGAUUGCCUUCCAUAAUAUGAAUAAACCGGAUCCAAUCACUUGAAGGCCUGAAUAGAACAAAAAGGCUGACCCUCCCCUGAGUAACAGAGAAUUCCUCCUGCCUCCCAGUCUUCAAACUGAGACAUUGGCUUGUCCUGGGUCCUAGAGCCUGCAGACCUUUGAACUGGAACUACGCCAUUGGCUGUUCAGGCUCUCCAACUUGCUGACUCACCUUGCAGAUUUUGGGACUUGCCAGCUUCUAUAACUAUAAGAACUCACUUAUCAUUUUGGAAGAGACGAGUCAUCUUGGCAGAAGCAGAUUAUUUCUGGUAAAUUGGCUGAAGCAUACAACAGGACCAGUUUUCCCCUCAGCAUUCUACUUCCUCAUAUGCCAAGAUAAAAAGCCAUAGCCAUGAUGGCUGGGAAGCCUGAAUUACACACCUGAGUGUGUUUUUUGCUACCACUGAACUGUCUGGACCAUGCUAACUUUGUAGUAUUAACUAAUCCGGCA